rnacentral:rRNA from 1 species
CCAAGCGAAAGCAUUAAGUAUUCCACCUGGGGAGUACGCCGGUAACGGUGAAACUCAAAGGAAUUGACGGGGGCCCGCACAAGCGGAGGAACAUGUGGUUUAAUUCGAUGAUACGCGAGGAACCUUACCCGGGCUUAAAUUGCACCUGAAUAAUGUGGAAACAUGUUAGCCGUAAGGCAGGUGUGAAGGUGCUGCAUGGUUGUCGUCAGCUCGUGCCGUGAGGUGUCGGCUUAAGUGCCAUAACGAGCGCAACCCUUAUCUUCAGUUACUAACAGGUCAUGCUGAGGACUCUGGAGAGACUGCCGUCGUAAGAUGUGAGGAAGGUGGGGAUGACGUCAAAUCAGCACGGCCCUUACGUCCGGGGCUACACACGUGUUACAAUGGGAGGUACAGAAGGCCGCUACCUGGCGACAGGAUGCCAAUCCCCAAAACCUCUCUCAGUUCGGAUCGAAGUCUGCAACCCGACUUCGUGAAGCUGGAUUCGCUAGUAAUCGCGCAUCAGCCAUGGCGCGGUGAAUACGUUCCCGGGCCUUGUACACACCGCCCGUC